rnacentral:misc_RNA from 1 species
GAUGAAGAACGCAGCGAAAUGCGAUAAGUAAUGUGAAUUGCAGAAUUCAGUGAAUCAUCGAAUCUUUGAACGCACAUUGCGCCCGCCAGCAUUCUGGCGGGCAUGCCUGUUCGAGCGUCAUUUCAACCCUCGAGCCCCCCCGGGGGCCUCGGUGUUGGGGGACGGCACACCAGCCGCCCCCGAAAUGCAGUGGCGACCCCGCCGCAGCCUCCCCUGCGUAGUAGCACACACCUCGCACCGGAGCGCGGAGGCGGUCACGCCGUAAAACGCCCAACUUUCUUAGAGUUGACCUCGGAUCAGGUAGGAAUACCCGCUGAACUUAAGCAUAUCAAUAAGCGGGGGA